rnacentral:rRNA from 1 species
CCUACGGGAGGCACCAGUGGGGAAUAUUGGACAAUGGGCGAAAGCCUGAUCCAGCAAUGCCGCGUGUGUGAAGAAGGUCUUCGGAUUGUAAAGCACUUUCGACGGGGACGAUGAUGACGGUACCCGUAGAAGAAGCCCCGGCCAACUUCGUGCCAGCAGCCGCGGUAAUACGAAGGGGGCUAGCGUUGUUCGGAAUGACUGGGCGUAAGGGGCGCGUAGGCGGUUUAUGCAGUCAGAUGUGAAAUCCCCGGGCUUAACCCGGGAACUGCAUUUGAGACGCAUAGACUAGAGGUCGAGAGAGGGUUGUGGAAUUCCCAGUGUAGAGGUGAAAUUCGUAGAUAUUGGGAAGAACACCGGUGGCGAAGGCGGCAACCUGGCUCGAUACUGACGCUGAGGCGCGAAAGCGUGGGGAGCAAACAGGAUUAGAUACCCCUGUAGUC